CCAGGAUCCACCCCCUCCCAGACCUCAUUUAAGUGUUGGCAGUGGAGGCAAGGGGAUCUUGUUAGAGAUGUCUGUGUAUCUGAGGCUGUUUGAGGGGAUACUAAUUAGCAAUGAUUAGCAAUUAGAAUACCAGAAUACAACUUGUAAGUCACAGAGAGCUUCAUAGUGGAGAUACAAGAUGUAGCUGGAUUGACAACUCAAGUGCUACACACUUUUUUACCCCAUGCUGGACAUAUAGAUGAAGAUUUUACACCAUGGCCAGCUGCAGGUGGUCAUAUUCCGAACGCCUCAAACAGAAAUGAAUAGCCAGACUUCCACUUACCUGUAUGAUGGAUGCAAUUCUACCAUAUUCCACAGUGAAUGGAUGCAAUUCUACCAUAUUCCACAGUGAAUGGAUGCAAUUCUACCAUAUUCCACAGUGAAU